rnacentral:rRNA from 1 species
AAUAGAUACCCGGGUAGUCCACCCCGUAAACGUUGGGAACUAGUUGUGGGGUCCUUUCCACGGAUUCCGUGACGCAGCUAACGCAUUAAGUUCCCCGCCUGGGGAGUACGGCCGCAAGGCUAAAACUCAAAGGAAUUGACGGGGACCCGCACGAGCGGCGGAGCAUGCGGAUUAAUUCGAUGCAACGCGAAGAACCUUACCAAGGCUUGACAUACACGAGAACACCCUAGAAAUAGGGGACUCUUUGGACACUCGUGAACAGGUGGUGCAUGGUUGUCGUCAGCUCGUGUCGUGAGAUGUUGGGUUAAGUCCCGCAACGAGCGCAACCCUCGUUCUAUGUUGCCAGCACGUUAUGGUGGGAACUCAUGGGAUACUGCCGGGGUCAACUCGGAGGAAGGUGGGGAUGACGUCAAAUCAUCAUGCCCCUUAUGUCUUGGGCUUCACGCAUGCUACAAUGGCCGGUACAAAGGGCUGCAAUACCGUGAGGUGGAGCGAAUCCCAAAAAGCCGGUCCCAGUUCGGAUUGAGGUCUGCAACUCGACCUCA